rnacentral:rRNA from 1 species
CCUACGGGAGGCAGCAGUGAGGAAUAUUGGUCAAUGGGCGCGAGCCUGAACCAGCCACGUAGCGUGAAGGAUGACUGCCCUACGGGUUGUAAACUUCUUUUAUAAAGGAAUAAAGUGAGGCACGUGUGCCUUUUUGUAUGUACUUUAUGCAUAAGGAUCGGCUAACUCCGUGCCAGCAGCCGCGGUAAUACGGAGGAUCCGAGCGUUAUCCGGAUUUAUUGGGGUUAACGGGAGCGUAGAUGGGUUGUUAAGUCAGUUGUGAAAGUUUGCGGCUCAACCGUAAAAUUGCAAUUGAUACUGGCAGUCUUGAGUACAGGUGAGGUAGGCGGAAUUCGUGGUGUAGCGGUGAAAUGCGUAGAUAUCACGAAGAACUCCGAUUGCGAAGGCAGCUUACUAAACUGCCACUGACAUUGAUGCUCGAAAGUGUGGGGAGCAAACAGGAUUAGAUACCCCUGUAGUC